GGACCCGCACAAGCGGUGGAUGAUGUGGAUUAAUUCGAUGCAACGCGAAAAACCUUACCUACCCUUGACAUGGCAGGAAUCCCGGAGAGAUUUGGGAGUGCUCGAAAGAGAACCUGCACACAGGUGCUGCAUGGCUGUCGUCAGCUCGUGUCGUGAGAUGUUGGGUUAAGUCCCGCAACGAGCGCAACCCUUGUCAUUAGUUGCUACGAAAGGGCACUCUAAUGAGACUGCCGGUGACAAACCGGAGGAAGGUGGGGAUGACGUCAAGUCCUCAUGGCCCUUAUGGGUAGGGCUUCACACGUCAUACAAUGGUACAUACAGAGGGCCGCCAACCCGCGAGGGGGAGCUAAUCCCAGAAAGUGUAUCGUAGUCCGGAUUGUAGUCUGCAACUCGACUACAUGAAGUUGGAAUCGCUAGUAAUCGCGGAUCAGCAUGUCGCGGUGAAUACGUUCCCGGGUCUU
rnacentral:rRNA from 1 species